rnacentral:sRNA from 1 species
GGACACUAGGGAAAUCUCUCAGUGAUAUCUACUAUCCUACACCAUUGAUUAUCAGGAUUGAUUCACCACCUGAUAUGGCUCACGAAGCUGGUGUUCUCUUCAUCCCUCACUGUCUCAUAGAUGUCCCUCCUAAAGAUUCAGACUGGGUCAAAGAGUAAAACUUUCCCAGACAGAAGCUGACCUUAGUCAAGAUGAAUAGCCGAGGUCUACUAGAACCUCCUAACAAAAUCUCAAAUAAGUUAAGGCAACAAAAGAAAUUCAUUUUUAGCCUUUAGUAGUAUGGUAGGAUGAGAAUGGUGAUUCAUAUCUA